rnacentral:rRNA from 1 species
UACGGAGGGUGCGAGCGUUGUCCGGAAUCACUGGGCGUAAAGGGCGCGUAGGCGGCCGGGCAAGGUCGUGGUGAAAGCCCGGGGCUCAACCCCGGGUCGGCCAUGGCAACUACUCGGCUGGAGCACAGUAGAGGCAGGCGGAAUUCCGGGUGUAGCGGUGGAAUGCGUAGAGAUCCGGAAGAACACCGGUGGCGAAGGCGGCCUGCUGGGCUGUGGCUGACGCUGAGGCGCGACAGCGUGGGGAGCAAACAGG